GGUGUGACUGCGUACCUUUUGUAUAAUGGGUCAGCGACUUAUAUUCUGUAGCAAGGUUAACCGUAUAGGGGAGCCGAAGGGAAACCGAGUCUUAACUGGGCGUUAAGUUGCAGGGUAUAGACCCGAAACCCGGUGAUCUAGCCAUGGGCAGGUUGAAGGUUGGGUAACACUAACUGGAGGACCGAACCGACUAAUGUUGAAAAAUUAGCGGAUGACUUGUGGCUGGGGGUGAAAGGCCAAUCAAACCGGGAGAUAGCUGGUUCUCCCCGAAAGCUAUUUAGGUAGCGCCUCGUGAACUCAUCUUCGGGGGUAGAGCACUGUUUCGGCUAGGGGGCCAUCCCGGCUUACCAACCCGAUGCAAACUACGAAUACCGAAGAAUGUUAUCACGGGAGACACACGGCGGGUGCUAACGUCCGUCGUGAAGAGGGAAACAACCCAGACCGCCAGCUAAGGUCCCAAAGUCAUGGUUAAGUGGGAAACGAUGUGGGAAGGCACAGACAGCCAGGAUGUUGGCUUAGAAGCAGCCAUCAUUUAAAGAAAGCGUAAUAGCUCACUGGUCGAGUCGGCCUGCGCGGAAGAUGUAACGGGGCUAAACCAUGCACCGAAGCUGCGGCAGCGACACUAUGUGUUGUUGGGUAGGGGAGCGUUCUGUAAGCCGUUGAAGGUGGCCUGUGAGGG
rnacentral:rRNA from 1 species